UUAAGUGAAGCACGACUGUAUUAUUUUUGUAUAAUACGUUACAUAACAAAUUACUACAAACUUACUAGGUUAAUGGAAUGCUUCUUUAUGACCUCACAGGCCAGAAAUCUAGGCGUGGCUUAGCUGGAUUCUCUGGUCAGAGUCUCAAAAGACCACAGUCAAUAUGCAGAGUGGGUUGGGUUCUCAUGGGGAGAUUUGACCAGGGAAGCAGAUUCUGCCCUGCCUGGGUGGUUGUUGGCAGCAUUCAGUCCCUCACCUCUUCAAAAUCCACAAGGAGAGAGAGAGAGGCUGGAUAGACAGUUCUGUGAAGGCAUAUCCAAUGUCGCGAAGACAUUGAAGAAAGGCAACUUCUACUGGCGAAGUGAGCACCAUUCCCACAAGUUAAAAAAGUGGCCUAUCUACUCAGAGGUGGAGUCGGGGAGUGGGGAGAGCAAGAGAAUGACUACAGGGUUGGCACACAGGUAACUGCAGGUGUGGUAGCAUAUGGAGUUACUCCAAGGGUUGGGGUAGGCAACAGCACGCUAUCUGCCGUGAUAAAUUACUUUGGCUUAUCUUUGUUUUUUCCCUUCUAUCUAAAUAACAACUAUAAAAUCCAGUUUUGAUACUGCAGAAGACUAAAAGUCUUCCCUGUAUUUCAAAUUUUGUUUAGUCUUUUCUCAUGUACUAUAAAAGUGCAUGUUUUAUCACAUUUCUGAGUUACAAAUAUAUUUUGUUUUAUUUUGUAUCUUUUCCUUCUGAGGUUCUGUUAUAUAAUGUGCAUCUGUGGUAUGUGGGUGGGUGAGGCAGUUACUAUAUGUUAGAAAUUAGAAAGAGGGGCACUUGCACCCUCCCCAUUCUGCCUCCACCUACUUUUGAGCAGGGCAAUAAAAGAGAAAAAACGUUGAAUCUCA
rnacentral:lncRNA from 1 species